AUUGAACGCUGGCGGCAUGCCUUACACAUGCAAGUCGAACGGCAGCACGGGAGCAAUCCUGGUGGCGAGUGGCGAACGGGUGAGUAAUAUAUCGGAACGUGCCUAGUCGUGGGGAUAACGUAGCGAAAGCUACGCUAAUACCGCAUACUAUCUAUGGAUGAAAGCGGGGGAUCGCAAGACCUCGCGCGAUUGGAGCGGCCGAUGUCAGAUUAGGUAGUUGGUGAGGUAAAGGCUCACCAAGCCGACGAUCUGUAGCUGGUCUGAGAGGACGACCAGCCACACUGGGACUGAGACACGGCCCAGACUCCUACGGGAGGCAGCAGUGGGGAAUUUUGGACAAUGGGCGCAAGCCUGAUCCAGCAAUGCCGCGUGCAGGAUGAAGGCCUCGGUUGUAAC
rnacentral:rRNA from 1 species